UACGGGGGGGAGCAAGCGUUGUUCGGAUUUACUGGGCGUAAAGGGCGCGUAGGCGGUCGUGACAAGUCACUUGUGAAAUCUCCGGGCUUAACUCGGAACGGUCAAGUGAUACUGUCGGACUAGAGUACAGAAGGGGCAACUGGAAUUCUCGGUGUAGCGGUGAAAUGCGUAGAUAUCUGGAGGAACACCGGUGGCGAAGGCGGCAUCCUGGACCGACACUGACACUGAGGAGCGAAAGCCAGGGGAGCAAACGGG
rnacentral:rRNA from 1 species